rnacentral:lncRNA from 1 species
CCUCUCCUCUAAAUACUUGGUUCAAAGUGUUCGGUCCAAGCUGGUCAUGUCAAGCACUCAUUCGAGUAGCAAAGCAUACUUUUCGUUAAUAGUGGUAAUCACCUGGGUAUAAUAAUAAUAUUAAUCAAUAAAACAUUCAAUUCAGUUUUUUAUUUAAUUUUAUGUUAAAAGAGUUUCCAAAAGUGUUUUCCUGACUACAUGAAAUACUUUUUGAUAAUUUAAUUUCUUUAAAUAUACAAAUUCUGUUUUAAUGUAUUAUAGGAGUGAGUAGAAGGUUAAAACAUUAUUUUCAAUUUAAAAUAAAAUUAAAAUUUUGAUUCCAUCAUUUUUAUGUAAUUCUUUUUGUAGAGUAUUCAAUACUGGCAACUUCGUAUUUUAGUUUGAUUUCCCAUGCUGUUUUUGGUUAAUUUCCAACAUACCAGAUUGAUUUCGCGCGAAAAUUUAAACGCAUUUUAUUGCCUUUUUGGAAGAACGUUGCUUCAAAACGGAAAAUCGAAGGAAACCCUGACCGGACCUAAGGGACAGCCUUGGGGGGAAAACUGGCAGUGCAUUUUCCCAGCCCCAAAGAUUUUCCCCGGCACGUCGGGGAACUUAUUAUGAAAUAAAAGAACUAAUACUUAUUAUGCUAGCCGAACAUAAAACGAAUUUUCGAGUCUAGAGUUCCCAUCUGCAAGGGCAUGACAGAGUCCUGG